GUGGCUUCCGGAGCUAACGCGUUAAGUCGACCGCCUGGGGAGUACGGCCGCAAGGUUAAAACUCAAAUGAAUUGACGGGGGCCCGCACAAGCGGUGGAGCAUGUGGUUUAAUUCGAUGCAACGCGAAGAACCUUACCUGGUCUUGACAUCCACGGAAGUUUUCAGAGAUGAGAAUGUGCCUUCGGGAACCGUGAGACAGGUGCUGCAUGGCUGUCGUCAGCUCGUGUUGUGAAAUGUUGGGUUAAGUCCCGCAACGAGCGCAACCCUUAUCCUUUGUUGCCAGCGGUCCGGCCGGGAACUCAAAGGAGACUGCCAGUGAUAAACUGGAGGAAGGUGGGGAUGACGUCAAGUCAUCAUGGCCCUUACGACCAGGGCUACACACGUGCUACAAUGGCGCAUACAAAGAGAAGCGACCUCGCGAGAGCAAGCGGACCUCAUAAAGUGCGUCGUAGUCCGGAUUGGAGUCUGCAACUCGACUCCAUGAAGUCGGAAUCGCUAGUAAUCGUGGAUCAGAAUGCCACGGUGAAUACGUUCCCGGGCCUUGUACACACCGCCCGUCACACCAUGGGAGUGGGUUGCAAAAGAAGUAGGUAGCUUAACCUUCGGGAGGGCGCUUACCACUUUGUGAUUCAUGACUGGGGUGAAGUCGUAACAAGGUAACCGUAGGGGAACCUGCGGUUGGAUCACCUCCUUACCUUAAAGAAGC
rnacentral:rRNA from 1 species